rnacentral:rRNA from 1 species
CCCCUAAGAAGUUUUKRUWUCAUGGCUCAGGACGAACGCUGGCGGCGUGCCUUAAUACAUGCAAGUCGAGCGGACAGAUGGAGCUUGCUCCCUGAUGUUAGCGGCGGACGGGUGAGUAACACGUGGGUAACCCUGCCUGUAAGACUGGGAUAACUCCGGGAAACCGGGGCUAAUACCGGAUGSUUGUUUGAACCGCAUGGUUCAGACAUAAAAGGUGGCUUCGGCUACCACUUACAGAUGGACCCGCGGCGCAUUAGCUAGUUGGUGAGGUAACGGCUCACCAAGGCRACGAUGCGUAGCCGACCUGAGAGGGUGAUCGGCCACACUGGGACUGAGACACGGCCCAGACUCCUACGGGAGGCAGCAGUAGGGAAUCUUCCGCAAUGGACGAAAGUCUGACGGAGCAACGCCGCGUGAGUGAUGAAGGUUUUCGGAUCGUAAAGCUCUGUUGUUAGGGAAGAACAAGUGCCGUUCAAAUAGGGCGGCACCUUGACGGUACCUAACCAGAAAGCCACGGCUAACUACGUGCCAGCAGCCGCGGUAAUACGUAGGUGGCAAGCGUUGUCCGGAAUUAUUGGGCGUAAAGGGCUCGCAGGCGGUUUCUUAAGUCUGAUGUGAAAGCCCCCGGCUCAACCGGGGAGGGUCAUUGGAAACUGGGGAACUUGAGUGCAGAAGAGGAGAGUGGAAUUCCACGUGUAGCGGUGAAAUGCGUAGAGAUGUGGAGGAACACCAGUGGCGAAGGCGACUCUCUGGUCUGUAACUGACGCUGAGGAGCGAAAGCGUGGGGAGCGAACAGGAUUAGAUACCCUGGUAGUCCACGCCGUAAMCRAUGAGUGCUAAGUGUUAGGGGGUUUCCGCCCCUUAGUGCUGCAGCUAACGCAUUAAAGCAAYUCCCGCCA